rnacentral:rRNA from 1 species
AUGAACGCUAGCGACAGGCCUAACACAUGCAAGUCAGGGGCAGCACAAGGAGCAAUCUGAGGUGGCGACCGGCGCACGGGUGAGUAACACGUAUGCAACCUGCCUGUAAGCGGGGAAUAACCCGUUGAAAAGACGGACUAAUACCGCAUAAUACUAAAUUACUGCAUGGUAAUUUAUUUAAACAUUUAUGGCUUACAGAUGGGCAUGCGCAUGAUUAGCUAGUUGGAGAGGUAACGGCUCCCCAAGGCAACGAUCAUUAGGGGUUCUGAGAGGAAGGUCCCCCCACACUGGUACUGAGACACGGACCAGACUCCUACGGGAGGCAGCAGUGAGGAAUAUUGGUCAAUGGACGAGAGUCUGAACCAGCCAAGUCGCGUGCAGGAAGAAUGUCCCUAUGGAUUGUAAACUGCUUUUGCAGGGGAAUAAAGUGCAUCACGUGUGAUGUUUUGUAUGUACUCUGCGAAUAAGGAUCGGCUAACUCCGUGCCAGCCGCCGC